rnacentral:rRNA from 1 species
ACGCUGGCGGCAGGCUUAACACAUGCAAGUCGAACGAACCGUAUCCUUCGGGAUACAAUGGUUAGUGGCGCACGGGUGAGUAACGCGUGGGAACAUACACUAGAGUACGGAAUAACCCAAGGAAACUUGGGCUAAUACCGUAUACGCCCUAAGGGGGAAAGAUUUAUCGCUCUAGGAUUGGCCCGCGUCUGAUUAGGUUGUUGGUAGGGUAAUGGCCUACCAAGCUUACGAUCAGUAGCUGGUCUGAGAGGAUGAUCAGCCACACUGGGACUGAGACACGGCCCAGACUCCUACGGGAGGCAGCAGUGGGGAAUAUUGGACAAUGGGGGCAACCCUGAUCCAGCCAUGCCGCGUGAGUGAAGAAGGCCUUCGGGUUGUAAAGCUCUUUCAGCGGGGACGAUGAUGACGGUACCCGCAGAAGAAGCCCCGGCUAACUCCGUGCCAGCAGCCGCGGUAAUACGGAGGGGGCUAGCGUUGUUCGGAAUUACUGGGCGUAAAGCGCACGUAGGCGGUGUGCAUAGUCAGAGGUGAAAGCCCGGGGCUCAACCCCGGAAUUGCCUUUGAUACUUGCAUACUAGAAUCCAUGAGAGGGUAGUGGAACUCCUAGUGUAGAGGUGAAAUUCGUAGAUAUUAGGAAGAACACCAGUGGCGAAGGCGACUGCCUGGCAUGGUAUUGACGCUGAGGUGCGAAAGCGUGGGGAGCGAACAGGAUUAGAUACCCUGGUAGUCCACGCCGUAAACGAUGAGUGCUAGUUGUCGGAAUGUUAACAUUUUGGUGACGAAGCUAACGCGUUAAGCACUCCGCCUGGGGAGUACGGCC